GACGAACGCUGGCGGCGUGCUUAACACAUGCAAGUCGAACGGAAAGGCCGCUUUCGGGUGGUUCUCGAGGGGCGAACGGGUGAGUAACACGUGAAUAACCUGCCCGUAGCGUUGGGAUAACUUCAGGAAACUGGGGCUAAUACCUAGUAGGAGCUCCUGCUGCAGGGAUGGGGCCGGGAAGGUUCGGGCGUCGGGGUUGGACUCGCGUGUUAUCAUCUUGUUGGUGGGGUAGUGUCUUACCAAGGCUUUGGCGGGUAGCCGGCCAGAGCGGGUGAACGGCCAGAUUGGGACUGAGAGACAGCCGAGACAGCUACGGGAGGCAGGAGUGGGGAAGAUUGCACAAUGGGUGGGAGAAUGAUGCAGGGAGGACGUGUGCGGGAUGACGGAAUGCGGGUUGUACGUCGAUUUCGCUCAUGAGGAAGCUUUGUGUGACGGUAGUGGGUAAAGAAGCACCGGCUAACUACGUG
rnacentral:rRNA from 1 species